AUUGAACGCUGGCGGCAUGCCUUACACAUGCAAGUCGAACGGCAGCACGGGAGCAAUCCUGGUGGCGAGUGGCGAACGGGUGAGUAAUAUAUCGGAACGUGCCCAGUCGUGGGGAUAACGUAGCGAAAGCUACGCUAAUACCGCAUACGAUCUAUGGAUGAAAGCGGGGGAUCGCAAGACCUCGCGCGAUUGGAGCGGCCGAUAUCAGAUUAGGUAGUUGGUGAGGUAAAGGCUCACCAAGCCGACGAUCUGUAGCUGGUCUGAGAGGACGACCAGCCACACUGGGACUGAGACACGGCCCAGACUCCUACGGGAGGCAGCAGUGGGGAAUUUUGGACAAUGGCGCAAGCCUGAUCCAGCAAUGCCGCGUGCAGGAUGAAGGCCUCGGUGUAACUGNUUGUUACGGUAACGGUAAACCGGGUA
rnacentral:rRNA from 1 species